CUCUCCUAUAAGCAACUCCCCUCUCUCCUCCCCCAAUUCUUGCCCUACUCCUCGUACCGCCGCCGCCGCCACUGCCCCCAGCGCCCAUCCACCGCCGCCGCCGCAGCCACCGUAGGAGACUCCCCUCUGAUAGGGCUCCGGUGCCCCUUGCGUGGCCCUGCUCCACCGGCGAGCUCCCUGCCAUGGAUCCUCACCGUGGAUCUCGCCAUCCUCAUCGUCCUCGUCAUGGAUCUCGCCGCUCCCGUCGUCCUCACCAUGGAUCUCGCUACUCUGCUCCCGCCCUUUGGUAGCACAGGCUCAGUGCCUCCCUCCGGUCACGUGGGCCUGCCUCAGCUCCAUCGUGUGGGCUCGAUCCCCGCUGCUCCACCGGCACGCUACUCCGCCGAGCGCUUGUCUCCCUGUGUGUUGCUCUCCCUCGCCCAACGUUGGCCACAUCUUCUUCCUCCAUGAGGCCGACCAGGCUGCGCGGACCUACAGCUCUAGCGAAGCGGGCUCCCUUGCUCCUCUCCCGGUAGCCAUGGCACACUUCCUCGGGCAGCGGCGCGAUCCCCUGCUGGCACAUUCAUCACGCGAGCUUGGGCUGGCAGAUCUCCCUCCUAGCGCCUAGGGGGUGAGCUCGGGCCAGCAAAGCUCCUCCAUCUCUCGCCCAGCUAGCGGAGAAUGAGGAAUUGUUUGAGAAGGCCAAAAAGCCUAAAGUAUAAAGGUAGCCAUGCCAACACUAACAAGUUCUAGAGGACAGCCAUUCAGCCCACACUAGCAGCAAUACUUCAAGGUUGUAAUUUCCUUGGUUCAGUCCAAGAGGAAAUUGGUAAGUUCUCACAAAUUAAUAAAAUGUAUGUCUUUGUAUAUUUUUAAUUUUAUUGCUAGAUGUUCUUGUAAAUUUCAUUGUGUUGGAUCUAUACAUGAGAGGGAGAAGAGCGGUUUGUGCAAGAGGAAAAAUGUUACUUUUGACUUUCCCUGUGUGGUUCAGCUGACUCUCAGGUGCGUUUCACAUAGUUAAUAAAAUUGUUUAGUAGUUGGUGCCUUAUGGCCGUGUUCUUAGUUAUUUAGUUGGUUUGCUUGCUAUGCUUGUUUUCGUUUAUGCUAUACUACCAGUAAGCAUCUCGAAUUGCUGAUUGAUGUUGUCUCAACUUUCGACCAGCAGCUCCCUUGGAAGGUCAGCUUGAUAACCCAGUUUAUAGUGCAAUAACCUUGUUUCAGAGAUGUCAUUCUGUUAUUCCUAGUUCAUUUAAUGUGUUCAAGGCACAAUGAUAUCAUAGUCUUCAUGGCACAAGUGCGACGUCUUAGGGUAAGCAAAAUUAUUUUGAUGAUCUUAGGGGUAGGGAUUUGGGACGAAAUUUGGGAAAACUUUUGGUUUAGGGUUCAGAUUUUAGGAUUUUGGGGAAGAACAGGAUCUUUGAGAUCAAGACUGAUUUGACUUCCCUUCCUAUACAUCUACAUGUAGGUUAUUUUGCUUUCCUGUUCUAUUUAGAGAGUAUUUGUUUUAUCAUAUGCUAAGGUAAAUCUUUAUUAUAUAUGAUGCGCUUGUGUUGGCAUGCUUAGAUCGUAUCCAUAAUUCAGAGAGCAUAUGUUAGUCAUAGCAACGUACAUAUGAUUCCAUUCUCAUUUGUCUACAGGGAGGAAAUUGUGAGGCCAAAUGCAAUUAGUUUUUCUGCGCGACUACAGCAACCACUGAAUUCAGUAGGUUUGCUCCCAUUGCAGUUAAAAACCAACAAUUUAGCUGCUCAUCCAUGUCAACCAGCACGAAGGUGGAGAUUGCACAUGCCUAUGAGAAGAAUAGCGUGGCCUGCUUCAGCAUCUGAUCGAUGAGAAGCACUUCCAGCGGACCUUUGAGAUGAGAACUACUAUUGUAAAAGUGCUCAUGGUGGCUAUUUUUGAAAGAUUUUGUUAUGCAAGCAAAUCAUAUGAGUUGUAUUAUGCAAGCUACCCUCUUAGUUUUGUAGCUACUUGCGUGUAGCUUGCUUAUUGCCUUUGUAUUUUCUAUGAAAAGUUGUACAAGUACAAAUGUUGAUGGUUUCAAUGAAAAGAUGACCAAUAUUUUGUCAA